rnacentral:rRNA from 1 species
UACGAAGGGGGCGAGCGUUGUUCGGAAUUACUGGGCGUAAAGGGCGCGUAGGCGGCGCCGGAAGUCAGAUGUGAAAGCCCCGGGCUCAACCUGGGAACUGCAUUUGAUACUCUGGUGCUGGAGUUCGGGAGAGGAGAGUGGAAUUCCCAGUGUAGAGGUGAAAUGCGUAGAUAUCGGGAGGAACACCUGUGGCGAAAGCGGCUCACUGGACCACAACUGACGCUGAGGCGCGAAAGCUAGGGGAGCAAACAGG